UUUCCUUCUUUAGACAUUUAGUUAAGAUCAAUUGUAGUAUAUGUUCUUACCAGUUUAAUAUCUGAUGUAUCCUCUACCUGGGUCCAAAUAUUGAAUACAUUUUUGGAAUGGGGAUAUGGAAUAGGGGCUUGCUCUGUUCACUCCAAGCAUCGACCUGGUGUUGUAGGCAGUAUCUCCAGGAACAGUGCACCUCAU
rnacentral:snRNA from 1 species